AGAGUUUGAUCCUGGCUCAGAACGAACGCUGGCGGCAGGCUUAACACAUGCAAGUCGAACGCGUGUAGCAAUACACGAGUGGCGCACGGGUGAGUAACGCGUGGAUAUCUGCCUUUUGGUUCGGAAUAACCCCGGGAAACUGGGGCUAAUACCGGAUGGUUCCUUCGGGAUAAAGAUUUAUCGCCAAAAGAUGAGUCCGCGUACGAUUAGCUAGUUGGUGAGGUAAUGGCUCACCAAGGCGACGAUCGUUAGCUGGUCUGAGAGGACGAUCAGCCACACUGGGACUGAGACACGGCCCAGACUCCUACGGAAGGCAGCAGUGGGGAAUAUUGGACAAUGGGGGCAACCCUGAUCCAGCCAUGCCGCGUGAGUGAUGAAGGCCUUCGGGUUGUAAAGCUCUUUUGGCGGGGACGAUGAUGACGGUACCCGCAGAAUAAGCCCCGGCUAACUUCGUGCCAGCAGCCGCGGUAAGACGAAGGGGGCUAGCGUUGUUCGGAAUUACUGGGCGUAAAGCGCGUGUAGGCGGUUGUUCAAGUCGGGUGUGAAAGCCUUGAGCUCAACUCAAGAAAUGCACUCGGUACUGGAUGACUAGAGGACCGGAGAGGAUAGUGGAAUUCCCAGUGUAGUGGUGAAAUACGUAGAGAUUGGGAAGAACACCAGUGGCGAAGGCGGCUAUCUGGACGGUUUCUGACGCUAAGACGCGAAAGCGUGGGGAGCAAACAGGAUUAGAUACCCUAGUAGUCC
rnacentral:rRNA from 1 species